rnacentral:pre_miRNA from 1 species
GUCUAAUCAUGCUCUUAGCAAGUGGUUGUCUAAUCAUGCUCAGUAGCAAAGUGGUUGUCUAAUCAUGCUCUUAGCAAUAUGAUUAGACAACCACUUGCUAAGAGUAUGAUUAG